UGCCACAGUUAUAUCACCCUGCAGCCCAAGACCAGUUGCUUCCUGAAGUUAAGCAGGGCUGAGCCUGAUCAGUACCUGGAUGGGAGACCACAUGGGAAAACUAGGUUGCUGUUGGAA
rfam:Danio rerio chromosome 6, GRCz11 reference primary assembly.